CCUACGGGGUGCUGCAGUGAGGAAUAUUGGUCAAUGGCCGAGAGGCUGAACCAGCCAAGUCGCGUGAGGGAUGACGGCCCUACGGGUUGUAAACCUCUUUUGUCGGGGAGCAAAGCGAGUCACGUGUGGCUCAUUGCGAGUACCCGAAGAAAAAGCAUCGGCUAACUCCGUGCCAGCAGCCGCGGUAAUACGGAGGAUGCGAGCGUUAUCCGGAUUUAUUGGGGUUAAAGGGUGCGCAGGCGGAGGUGCAAGUCAGUGGUCAAAUGGCGGGGCUCAACCCCGUACUGCCGUUGAAACUGCAUCCCUUGAGUGCGCGAGAAGUAUGCGGAAUGCGUGGUGUAGCGGUGAAAUGCAGAGAUAUCACGCAGAACUACGAUUGCGAAGGCAGCAUACCGGCGCGCAACUGACGCUCAUGCACGAAAGCGUGGGUAUCGAACAGGAUUAGAUACCCCGGUAGUC
rnacentral:rRNA from 1 species